UACGAGGGGGGCGAGCGUUGUUCGGAAUUAUUGGGCGUAAAAGGGUGCGUAGGCGGUUUGGUAAGUCUCGUGUGAAAUCUCCGGGCUCAACUCGGAGCCUGCACGAGAAACUGCCGGGCUUGAGUGUGGGAGAGGUGAGUGGAAUUUCCGGUGUAGCGGUGAAAUGCGUAGAUAUCGGAAGGAACACCUGUGGCGAAAGCGGCUCACUGGACCACAACUGACGCUGAGGCACGGAAAGCUAGGGGAGACAAACAGG
rnacentral:rRNA from 1 species